CUUCGGGUUGUAAAGCUCUUCUGCCGAUGAAGAUAAUGACGGUAGUCGGAGAAUAAGCCCCGGCUAACUUCGUGCCAGCAGCCGCGGUAAUACGAAGGGGGCAAGCGUUGUUCGGAAUUACUGGGCGUAAAGGGUGCGUAGGCUGUUUAGUAAGUUAGAUGUGAAAGCCUUGGUUUCAAGCUAAGAAUAGCAUUUAAUACUGCUAAACUAGAGGAUAAGAGAGGAUAGUGGAAUUCUGAGUGUAGAGGUAAAAUUCGUAGAUAUUCAGAGGAACACCAGAGGCGAAAGCGUCUAUCUGGAUUAAUCCUAACGCUGAGGCACGAAAGUAUGGGGAGCAAACAGGAUUAGAUACCCUGGUAGUCCAUACUAUAAACGAUGAACACUAAGGGUCGGGACGUAAGUUUCGGUCUCCAAGCUAACGCGUUAAGUGUUCCGCCUGGGGAGUACGGUCGCAAGAUUAAAACUCAAAGGAAUUGACGGGGACCCGCACAAGCGGCGGAGCAUGUGGUUUAAUUCGAAGCAACGCGCAGAACCUUACCAGGACUUGACAUCUGUAUUGUAGAAAUUGGAGACAGUUUUUUUCAGUUCGGCUGGGUAUAGACAGGUGCUGCAUGGCUGUUGUCAGCUCGUGUCGUGAGAUGUUGGGUUAAGUCCCGCAACGAGCGCAACCCCCAUAUUUAAUUGCCAACAGGUAAAGCUGGGAACUUUAAAUAAACUGCCGGUGAUAAGCCGGAGGAAGGUGGGGAUGACGUCUAGUCCUCAUGGCCCUUAUGUCCUGGGCUACACACGUGCUACAAUGGCGGUGACNAUGAGAAGCGAACCUGUGAGGGUAAGCAAUCUUAAAAGCCGUCGUAGUUCGGAUGUACUCUGAACUCGAGUACAUGAAGUUGAAUCGCUAGUAUCG
rnacentral:rRNA from 1 species